rnacentral:rRNA from 1 species
UACGGAGGGUGCAAGCGUUAUCCGGAUUCACUGGGUUUAAAGGGUGCGUAGGCGGUCCGAUAAGUCAGUGGUGAAAGCCCGCAGCUCAACUGCGGAAUUGCCAUUGAAACUGCCGGACUUGAAUCCGGUUGAAGUGGGCGGAAUAUAUCAUGUAGCGGUGAAAUGCGUAGAUAUGUGGAGGAACACCGAUGGCGAAGGCAGCCCCCUGGGUCAAAACUGACGCUCAUGCACGAAAGCGUGGGGAGCAAACAGG